GACGAACGCUGGCGGCGUGCUUAACACAUGCAAGUCGAGCGGUAAGGCCCUUUCGGGGGUACGACGAGCGGCGAACGGGUGAGUAACACGUGGGUGACCUGCCCUCAGCUCUGGGAUAAGCCCGGGAAACUGGGUCUAAUACCGGAUAUGACUUCAUGACGCAUGUUGUGGAGUGGAAAGCCUUGUGCGGCUGAGGAUGGGCCCGCGGCCUAUCAGC
rnacentral:rRNA from 1 species